GUUCUCUCUCGAUACAAAACCCUAAUAUCAACCUCUCCCACUCUUCCAUUCUCUUAACCCUAAUAUCAUUCCCCCCCCCCCCCCCACUCUUCCACUCUCUUCUUCGUUCCUUCUCUUCCACCUUCCAGCAGAUCUGCUCGCUCUGUUCCGCCCCUCUGAAAUUGAACUCAGAACAACGCUCAACAAGCUUCGCCUGUUCUGUGGUGAAAUAGUCUAAGGUCGCCAUUCCAGGCGCCUCCACAGCCCUUCGUGGUACCGUCGCCUGCUCCAGCGCCUCUGGUUGCUACCAUUGCCGGAGGGACUGUCUAUCUUCAGCCUUUUGGUCCCAUCUUACCCUCAGUACCAGGAAGAAUAAGAAGAGACCGCCCGAGUUCAUCUCCAUUGUCACCUGCCUCUACUCAUCUUCACUUUGUUCUUUCGGAAUCCGUACUCCUCCUGAGAACGCCUCUCUCUCUCUCUCUCCUCUGCAGCCGAAUCCGAACCCAACAGUACCCACAACAACCCAUGUCUCCCAACACGGCACCACUACCUGAGCUCAUGGGUCAAUACCCUCCUCAAAGCCCUCACGCUAUUCAAUCUCCUCUCAUGUUUGCUCCUCAGGUUCUGGUGCUUCCUCUUGAAGGACAGUGCUGUUGAGAGGUCUUUGGAUAUUUGGAAGACAAAGUCUUGUCUUUUGAGUUUUAUUUUGGUUGUCUUUCAAAUCUCUCAUUGUUGUUGUGUUUGUAUGUUUGUUUGUAUCAGAAGUUUGCUUCAAAGAUCUGUGAAAGACUUCACUAUAAUGAAAGUCUUGGCUUCAGUUUUUGUAUGAAGAUUGCUCAAACUGGCUGAAGAUCGUGCUACUACUCCUAUUUUUAAAGUUCGUUGUGUCCAAUAUGUUUCUCUCUCACCUAAUUACAUUCUGCUGACACGGAUACUUCAAACCCUGCUGUCAUGGAAGAUGCUCAAAGCUCAUACCACUCUAGCAGGCAAGA